ensembl:snRNA U1 U1 spliceosomal RNA
UUACUUACCUGGCAGGGGAAAUACCGUGAUCAAGAAGAUGGUUCACCCAGGGCCAGAAUCAGCCAUUGCACUCCGGCUGUGCUGACCCCUGCAAAUUCCCCAAAUGUGGGAAUCUUGACUGCAUAAUUUCUGUAGUGGGGGACUGCGUUCGCACUCUACCCUG